GCUCCGAUUGGUCCGUUCCACUCCGGCCCAGCACCUGCUCUGGGCACAGCGCCUGCCCACUGGGGUCGCGCCGGCGAGUCUGGUCAGGUGGGCCGGGUCCCUCCCGCCCCCUGCCACGCGCACGACAGCCUAGGCUUUGGCCAACAGCAGCCCCUGCAACGGGCUGUUCCAUCGCAGAUGAGACCCCAUCGCAGAUGUAGGGAGGACAGCCGCCUUCCGUGGGGACAGCCUGCAGUGAGGGCCGCGACAGCACUGCUGGCCUGAUAAGUACCCAGUAUCAGCUGGGCCAGAAGCAAACAGUGACACAUGUGCCCCAACAGCCCCGAAGAGGCCGCUUCUGACCCCGCCCGCGCCCCAGGUGCCCAGGACACAGGGACCCAGCAGAGGGAUUCGCAG